rnacentral:tRNA from 1 species
GGAGAAGUGGUCUAGGGGUCGGGCACAGGCGCCUCGAAUGCUCUGGAUGUCAGUUCGAGUCUGACGUUCUCCA